rnacentral:rRNA from 1 species
GAUGAACGCUGGCGGUAUGCUUAACACAUGCAAGUCGAACGGACUCUUCGGAGUUAGUGGCGGACGGGUGAGUAACGCGUGAGAAUCUGGCUUUGGGUUCGGGACAACCACUGGAAACGGUGGCUAAUACCGGAUGUGCCGAGAGGUAAAAGAGAAAUUGCCUGAAGAUGAGCUCGCGUCUGAUUAGCUAGUUGGUGAGGUAAAGGCUCACCAAGGCAGCGAUCAGUAGCUGGUCUGAGAGGAUGACCAGCCACACUGGGACUGAGACACGGCCCAGACUCCUACGGGAGGCAGCAGUGGGGAAUUUUCCGCAAUGGGCGAAAGCCUGACGGAGCAAUACCGCGUGAGGGAAGAAGGCUCUUGGGUUGUAAACCUCUUUUCUUAGGGAAGAACAAAAUGACGGUACCUAAGGAAUCAGCAUCGGCUAACUCCG